GGAGGAGGGCUGAUUUUGGAGAGCAGAGGAGGGUAGUUCUCUUUGUUUGGUUCUUCCUUCUUUGUCUUAGCUCUCUCGCAUUAAGGUCGUUCUUGGGCGGGCGCUGAAUUGUAUUGAUUUUGAGGUGAUCACAACGUUCUGUUCAGAGCACAUUGCUAAAUAUGCUUUUGAAUACGCUUACCUAAACAACAGAAAGAAGGUGACUGCUGUGCACAAAGCAAACAUUAUGAAUCUUGGAGAUGGCCUGUUCUUAGAGUCUUGUUGUGAGGUGGCCACAAAAUAUCCUGGGAUCGACUAUAAGGAAAUAAUUGUGGACAACUACUGCAUGCAACUUGUUUCGAAGCCUAAGCAAUUUGAUGUCAUGGUUACAUUUUGGUGUCUCCAAUCCACUCAACUUUCUAUAGAUCGAUUUUUUGAACAGUGUUUGCAUUUGCACUUCGGGAAGAUGCAAAUGAAGCUACUUAUAUGAUCUUUAGUUUAGGUGAAUAAUAACAUGCAAUUUUAACCUGAAGCAGCAUUCUUAUACUCAAUCAAGUUCUCGAAGACAAAUGG